rnacentral:rRNA from 1 species
AUGUGCAUCCACACGAAAUGGAGUUUAUGUCUCAGAGUAUACCACAAAUUCCACAUUGAACGAAUUGGCUUUGGGAGGAAGAGACUAAACUUGGUCGUGUUGGACACAGAGUUUAUGCCUGCUAGGUCAUUUAUGGAGAGUGAUGUACAUGCAGAUAAUACAAGGGUGCAUUUCUCUUACUGUCAAGAAGAAGAUUUAGGUGGAAUUCUGUUCACCGAACAAAUCUUCCUUUUGGCGAUUGGAGACAAGGAGUUGAGUGGAAGGUUUUGGUUCGGCAGAUUGUUCUUCACUAUAUUAUGUCAGAUUUCGUCAUCAAAAUAG